rnacentral:rRNA from 1 species
CCUACGGGUGGCAGCAGUGGGGAAUAUUGGACAAUGGGGGGAACCCUGAUCCAGCCAUGCCGCGUGUGUGAAGAAGGCCCUCGGGUUGUAAAGCACUUUCAGUGAGGAAGAACGCCUGGUGGUUAAUACCCAUCAGGAAAGACAUCACUCACAGAAGAAGCACCGGCUAACUCCGUGCCAGCAGCCGCGGUAAUACGGAGGGUGCGAGCGUUAAUCGGAAUUACUGGGCGUAAAGCGCGCGUAGGUGGCUUGAUAAGCCGGUUGUGAAAGCCCCGGGCUCAACCUGGGAACGGCAUCCGGAACUGUCAAGCUAGAGUGCAGGCGAGGAAGGUAGAAUUCCCGGUGUAGCGGUGAAAUGCGUAGAGAUCGGGAGGAAUACCAGUGGCGAAGGCGGCCUUCUGGACUGACACUGACACUGAGGUGCGAAAGCGUGGGUAGCAAACAGGAUUAGAUACCCCUGUAGUC